UGUUCUCCCAAGACUUCAACUUUAAGUAUAUCAACAAGCUCACAAAGAAGAUCAAUAUUUGUUUCAUGAAUAAGUUUUGGGCGCAGUGUAUCAUACAAGAAAGUAGACAAAGGAUCAAGCAAUGGAGCCAAACCAGAAAUAUCCUCUGAAGAAGAUGGGAAAAAGUGAUCAAAGAGUUGGUGCUCAAGUUGACAAACCUGCAUUAGAUAUGCACAUCCAGAUCUAGUUAAUGAUGGCAAGGCCUCUUUCUUGGCAAAUUCAGAUACUCGUUGAAGUACUAUGCCUUUUACC
rnacentral:misc_RNA from 1 species